UACGUAGGGGGCAAGCGUUGUCCGGAUUUAUUGGGCGUAAAGAGCGUGUAGGCGGCCAGACAGGUCCGUUGUGAAAACUCGAGGCUCAACCUCGAGACGCCGAUGGAAACCAUCUGGCUAGAGUCCGGAAGAGGAGAAUGGAAUUCCCGGUGUAGCGGUGAAAUGCGCAGAUAUCGGGAAGAACACCCGUGGCGAAGGCGGUUCUCUGGGACGGUACUAACGCUGAGACGCGAAAGCGUGGGGAGCGAACAGG
rnacentral:rRNA from 1 species